AUUGAACGCUGGCGGCAUGCCUUACACAUGCAAGUCGAACGGUAACGGGCCUUCGGGUGCCGACGAGCGGCGAACGGGUGAGUAAUGUAUCGGAACGUACCUUUCAGUGGGGGAUAACGUAGCGAAAGUUACGCUAAUACCGCAUAUUCUGUGAGCAGGAAAGCAGGGGAUCGCAAGACCUUUCGCUGAUUGAGCGGCCGAUAUCAGAUUAGCUAGUUGGUGAGGUAAAGGCUCACCAAGGCGACGAUCUGUAGCGGGUCUGAGUGGAUGAUCCGCCACACUGGAACUGAGACACGGUACAGACUCCUACGGGCGGCGUCAGUGGGGAAUUUUGGACGAUGGGGGCAACCCUGAUCCAGCCAUGCCGCGUGAGUGAAGAAGGCCUUCGGGUUGUAAAGCUCUUUCGGCCGGGAAGAAAUCGUAUGGGUCAAUACCCUGUGCGGAUGACGGUACCGGCAUAAGAAGCACCGGCUAACUACGUGCCAGCAGCCGCGGUAAAAC
rnacentral:rRNA from 1 species